AAUGGUCGCUGGUCAGAAAUGGAUGAUUAUCCUGAGUAUAGAUAUUGAUUUGGUGUUUUUGUUAGUUUACGAUCUCUUUUUGAGUUCGUGCCCUUAGUCUGCUCUUUGUAUUUUCAAGGGAUGCUUCUUUUUCUUUUAUAUUAAACUUCAUUUUAAUAGUAGAAUUACGAAAGUACAUGUACUGUUUUUUAAAAUUUCAAGGAAGCCCAAUAACCCCCGCCCUACCUCUAGCUCGAUAUAUAUGCUUGUGCGCAAAUG
rnacentral:lncRNA from 1 species